ensembl:lncRNA novel transcript
UGGCCAGCCCAGAAAAGGGCUUCCACAGUGCAGCGGCGGGCCGAAGGGCUCCUCAAGUGCCGCCAAAGUGGGAGCCCAGGCAGAGGAGGCGCCGAGAGCGAGCAAGGGCUGUGAGGACUGCCAGCACUCUGUCACCUCUCAGUACUAGCCCUUCUUCUGCUACCUUACCCUGAGGACUUGGACAUUCCAGCGUAUCGCAGAACCGGAAUUCAGCUCCCAUUGCCCACAACAGUGCUUCCCUGCCUCAGUUUCAUAGAAAUGAUCCCUUCGUAACUCAGCAGCUCAUAUACAGUGAUAAAGUAUCAAGUCCAUCGUUUUCCCAAAUCAAGAGCAAUGCAUCCCACACAAAUGGGCAAGAAUUGCAGCUGACAGAGUGUUCCUGAGCAGAGUGACACAGUCUCCUGCAGUUGAGGAUCAUUGAUCUAGAGCAUUGAUUACAACGGAAGGCGUCUAAAGGAUGAGGCAAAAGUGAAAGCCAGAUUAUGGUUGUAUGUUUUUCCUGUAAGCCACCACAAACCUUUUGUGCAAUGAGAUAGGUGAUGAAUAAAGCAUGGAUGAAUCCACGCAUUAGAUGAGUAUGUGAAGUGGAUAUGGAGAGCACAUAAGAACCAAGAGCAGACAGAGCCCUAAGGAAAGACCUGGCUGACCUGCCGGAAGGAAAAUAGGUAUUAGGAAUCCUGAAAACCAUACUUCAGAGGAUUAUGUAUCAAGAAAGUUGGGGUCUAGGUGAGAGUCUUGUGAUUUGGUUGAAUUAAAAUUAAUGCAGCACUUCCAGCCCUGCAGUCAUUCAGGAGUCCCCAACUUACUACCAGUGGGAGCCAGGUUGAGAACACACAGACCUCCCAGCCAGCUGUCUCUGUAUCUACAGAGUUGAACUGGACUUAGUUUUUGUAUGAUAUCUCUUGAAUGAACAAACUUGGAUAUUAUGGGGAAAAACUAUGUUUUGAUUUUAUAAAUGUUGUUAUUGAUAGGUGACAGGGAGGUAAUAACUGCUUAUUAGCAUUUAAUGUGUCUGAUCAUUCAAUUAAUCUUGUAGAAAUUACUCUUAGACUUUCAACAACAUGUAACUAUAAGCACAUAUCAUUUGUUUCAAUUUAAUACAGUGGCUGAAAAGGAUAUCUAAGAAUUGUUUGUACCUCUGGGCAUAUCUUAGUGAGAGACUUCUCAUAGCAUUUGUUUAAACCUUAUGAAAACUGUAUUUAGUCAUGGACUGACAUGAAUUGUUCAUUGGAUUCAUUAGGGAUUAUAUCUAAGAUAAGAUUUAUUGCAUUUAUAAUAAAAUGUGUGAAUGAAGAAAUAAAA